AAUUCUCAACUCCCCUCGGAUUCCAUCUGUAGAGUGAGCUUGGACUUGGAGGUUUCUGCUGGCGUUCGCCGGCUCCUCUUGAAAUCAUUAGCUUUGAGUUGAUCUUGAUGGCUUGACCGGUGUGAUAAACAUCUACGCCGAUUUGUGCCGUCCUGAGCGACGAACGUCGGAGACGCCCUGGCUUAUAACUGUCUUCGCCAGAGGACGAUGCCCUGAAC
rnacentral:misc_RNA from 1 species